rnacentral:rRNA from 1 species
AUUGAACGCUGGCGGCAGGCCUAACACAUGCAAGUCGAGCGAGCGGCGGACGGGUGAGUAAUGUAUGGGGACUGCCUGAUGGCGGGGGAUAACUACUGGAAACGGUAGCUAAUACCGCAUACUAUCGGAUAACCCAUAUGGGAUUAGCUAGUAGGUGAGGUAAAGGCUUACCUAGGCGACGAUCCCUAGCUGGUCUGAGAGGAUGAUCAGCCACACUGGGACUGAGACACGGCCCAGACUCCUACGGUGGCAGCAGUGGGGAAGAGUGCACAAUGGGCGCAAGCCUGAUGCAGCCAUGCCGCGUGUAUGAAGAAGGCCUUCGGGUUGUAAAGUACUUUCAGUCGGGAGGCGUUACCGACAGAAGAAGCACCGGCUAACUCCGUGCCAGCAGCCGCGGUAAUAC